rnacentral:rRNA from 1 species
AUUGAACGCUGGCGGAAUGCUUUACACAUGCAAGUCGAACGGCAGCACGGGUGCUUGCACCUGGUGGCGAGUGGCGAACGGGUGAGUAAUACAUCGGAACGUACCCAGUCGUGGGGGAUAACGUAGCGAAAGUUACGCUAAUACCGCAUACGUCCUGAGGGAGAAAGCGGGGGACCGUAAGGCCUCGCGCGAUUGGAGCGGCCGAUGGCGGAUUAGCUAGGUGGUGGGGUAAAGGCCUACCAAGGCGACGAUCCGUAGCGGGUCUGAGAGGACGGACCGCCACACUGGAACUGAGACACGGUCCAGACUCCUACGGGAGGCAGCAGUGGGGAAUAUUGGACAAUGGGGGAAACCCUGAUCCAGCGACGCCGCGUGGGUGAAGAAGGCCUGCGGGUUGUAAAGCCCUUUCGGUAGGGACGAAAGCUCUCGACCUAACACGUCGGGAGGUUGACUUAACCUACAAAAGAAGCACCGGCUAACUCUGUGCCAGCCGCCGCGGUAA